CCUACGGGAGGCAGCAGUGGGGAAUAUUGCGCAAUGGCCGAAAGCCUGACGCAGCGAAGCCGCGUGAGGGAUGAAGGUCUUCGGAUCGUAAGCCUCUGUCAGCAGGGAGGAACGGUGACUGUGCUAAUCAGCAGUGCAUUGACGGUACCUGCAAAGGAAGCACCGGCUAACUCCGUGCCAGCAGCCGCGGUAAUACGGAGGGUGCGAGCGUUAAUCGGAAUUACUGGGCGUACAGCGCUCGUAGGCGGUAGGUCAAGUCAAGGGUGAAAUCCCCGCGCUCAACGUGGGAACUGCCUUUGAAACUGGCAAACUUGAGUGUGGGAGAGGAUAGUGGAAGUCCAGGUGUAGGAGUGAAAUCCGUAGAUAUCGGGAGGAACAUCAGUGGCGAAGGCGACGAUCUGGCACAUAACUGACGCUGAGGAGCGAAAGCGUGGGUAGCAAACAGGAUUAGAUACCCGGGUAGUC
rnacentral:rRNA from 1 species